AGUUAUAAACUUGAAAUAAGCUUAUGAUUUGAAAUCAUAAUGAAAGGGUUCAUACCCCUUAUUAACUU
rnacentral:tRNA from 1 species